UACGUAGGGUGCGAGCGUUAAUCGGAAUUACUGGGCGUAAAGCGUGCGCAGGCGGUUUUGUAAGCCAGAUGUGAAAUCCCCGGGCUUAACCUGGGAAUGGCAUUUGGGACUGCAAGGCUUGAGUGCGGCAGAGGAGACUGGAAUUCCUGGUGUAGCAGUGAAAUGCGUAGAUAUCAGGAGGAACACCGAUGGCGAAGGCGGGCUCUCGUGGGCCGAUAC
rnacentral:rRNA from 1 species